rnacentral:rRNA from 1 species
GACGAACGCUGGCGGCGUGCUUAACACAUGCAAGUCGAACGGAAAGGCCUUCAGCUUUCUGCGGGUACUCGAGUGGCGAACGGGUGAGUAACACGUGGGUGAUCUGCUUUGCACUUCGGGAUAAGCUUGGGAAACUGGGUUUGAUACCGGAUCGUACAGCUUUUUAGUGUCAGUUGUGGAAAUUUUUUUCGGUGCUAGAUGAGCUCGCGGCCUAUCAGCUUGUUGGUGGGGUAAUGGCCUACCAAGGCGUCGACGGGUAGCCGGCCUGAGAGGGUGUACGGCGACAUUGGGACUGAGAGACGGCCCAGACUCCUAAGGGAGGCAGCAGUGGGGAAUAUUGAACAAUGGGCGGAAGUCUGAUGCAGCGACGCCGCGUGGGGGAUGAAGGCCUUCGGGUUGUAAAAUGCUUUCGACAGGGACGAAGCUUUUGUGACGGUACCUGUAUAAGAAGCACCGGCUAACUACGUG